AGAAGGUCUUGGAUGAUGACACCGCAGCUGAUAGCCUGGUUGUUUGGCAAACAUGUUACAUAGUCCCUCCCUUUUUUUCCUGCGGCUAGUUCUUUAUUCUAAGUGCAAAACAUACAUUGGAUCUAAUUUGUGUGGCUGUGCCUUUGCUGCAAGUGUUACUAAAACAACAACAUUGUGGACUGAGCUCUCUGCAUGUUCAUGGCACAUAAUCUGCUUACUAGAAAAUCUAUGACAGAAAAAAAAAAAAGGAAACCAAACAAAGCACCAUGAACAUAUUUCUGAAAAGAGCAGCAGACAGCAGAUUCCUCAGGAAAGAUCCCGAAAGAAGGUAUGGUUGCCAUAGGAGAUGACAGACCCUUGCAGGUUAUAGCUCCUGAAGACCCUCCAAGGGGAUGAGGUUUAUCAACUCAGCUAAUUCACAACAGUGAGAAUGGCAACAACACAGACUAUGAUGGUUCUUCCUGACAGGUACUGUGAGGAAUACAUUCCUGAUCAAGUUACCCUGCAAUUAAUGACAGCAGAGGCUUCUUUGAGAUGUUUCCUGGCAGGACUAUAUAAAUAACAAAUUUGCCACAGCACAACUUUCGGUGUGAAAGAUAUUCAUUGUGCUUGCUUUGGAUGGAAAGACCAGCCAUUCUCCCCUUUGUGAGUCAGUGUCUCACCAACUCAGAAGCAGAAGGUAGGACAGAGUCAAGUUUUAAAAGGAAAAUUGGGACACACAUCACUCUUGCAGAGAACAUGAAUCAG